UACUGAAUGUCUUUUUGCAAAUUGA
rnacentral:miRNA from 1 species